rnacentral:rRNA from 1 species
CCUACGGGAGGCAGCAGUAGGGAAUCUUCCACAAUGGGCGAAAGCCUGAUGGAGCAACGCCGCGUGGGUGAAGAAGGCCCUCGGAUUGUAAAACCUCGUUUUUAGAGAAGUAAGGGCGUGAGAGUAACUGUUCACGUUUCGACGGUAUCUAACCAGAAAGGCACGGCUAACUACGUGCCAGCAGCCGCGGUAAGACGUAGGUGGCAUGCGUUAUCCGGUUUUGUUUGGCGUAAAGGGAACGCAGGCGGUCUUUUAAGUCUGAUGUGAAAGCCGUCGGCCUAACCGGAGUAGUGCAUUGGAAACUGGCAGUCUUGAGUGCAGGAGAGGUAGGUGGAACUCGUGGUGUAGCGGUGAAAUGCGUAGAUAUAAGGAAGAACACCGAUGGCGAAGGCAGCUCACUGGUCUGUAACUGACGCUGAGGUUCGAAAGCGUGGGUAGCAAACAGGAUUAGAUACCCUUGUAGUC